GAUGAACGCUGGCGGCGUGCCUAAUACAUGCAAGUCGAACGAGGUGCUUUUGUAGCAAUACGAGAGUAUCCUAGUGGCGAACGGGUGAGUAACGCGUGGAUGACCUGCCCCAAAGUGUGGGAUAACAGUCCGAAAGGAUUGCUAAUACCUCAUGUGGUUAUCGGUUUUAGAAAGCGAUAACUAAAGCAGCAAUGCGCUUUGGGAGGGAUCUGCGUCCCAUCAGCUAGUUGGUGAGGUAACGGCUCACCAUGGCGACGAUAGGUAGGGGGCCUGAGAGGGUUGUCCCCCACACUGGUACUGAGACACGGACCAGACUCCUACGGGAGGCAGCAGUGAGGAAUAUUGGUCAAUGGACGCAAGUCUGAACCAGCCAUGCCGCGUGAAGGAAGAAUGUCCUAUGGAUUGUAAACUUCUUUUAUUUGGGAAGAAACCCCUCUACGUGUAGAGGGCUGACGGUACCAAACGAAUAAGCACCGGCUAACUCCGUGCCAGCAGCCG
rnacentral:rRNA from 1 species